AAAUAAUUUUUUAUAGUAGUAAUCAAAAUUUACUAAGUGUAGAUUUUGUAGAUUAAAAGCUUUUUCUCUCUCCUAACUCUCUAGAAUCUUUUAGAGAGAGAAAAGCUAGAUCUAUCUUUUUCUUUCUUCCGAUCUCUAAUUGGAUUCAGUUUUUUUUUGUUUAUUUUCCGAUCUGUGUUCAUCUUUCUUCUCCGGUAUAGCCGGUUUCUUAGAUCGGAUUAAAGUAUUUCCAGAUUUAGCUUUCUAUAAGAACUUAAAAUCUGGACUUUUGAGUUCUCUCUUUCUACAAGAUUUGCAGUCUCAAAUUCCGUUUGUCACUGAUCGAUUAUGUUUGCUUCACUAUCAGCUCGACUCUUCUCUUCUCAUGGAGUAAUAUCUUCGUCAUCAUACUUCACCGUUUGGAUUGAAGAAGACCAUUGUAGGUCUAGAGGCGGAGCUUCCUUUUGAAGAGUGUUGGGUUGAGAUUAUGAUUCUAUGGAGUCUUUGGUAAAAUCUUAAGGAUGGUAGCAGCAAAAUCAUGUCAGAUCGGCGGCGGUGGACAUGUAGAAAGAGUUGGCGACGGUGAAUCUGAAGUCCGGCGACGACGCUGCACCUGGUCGUGGAUCUGGUCGGUGACGUUCGUGUCACAAGUCUUCCUUCUCACGGAUGGACACGUGUCCAUAUACGUGGCACUUUUAUUACUUACCUUUAUCUUUAAAUUGGAUUAGGUAGGUGGGCUUUCUUUAAAAUGAAGUUGUAAAUGGGGAAGAAUAGACUUUAUUUUCACUGUUUGUAAUAGCCCGUUUGGGCUUUUCAUCUUAAUAAAAAUGACAAUGGCCGACCAAAAAAAAAAAAAAAAAAAUCAAAAUUUACUAAUUUAACAAACAUAUAUUGUGUUUAUAUACCAUGAUCAAAUUAUAAGACAAGUCAACUAAAGGAAAAAAUAGUCGAAUAUAUAUAUAUUUUUUUUCAAACAAAAAAGAGUCGACAAUGAUGGAAUUUCGUUAUAAUUGCUUUGAAUACAUUAAUUAAAGGGAUUAUUGCCUGGAAUGCCAUUUUUGGGCCAAAAGUUGUAAGUAUACCCUUUCCGUUUUGGGCUUUUGUUUUUGCCAUUUUUUUUCCUUGAAAAGACGAGAUUACCUCUGCCACGAACGAGCGAGAGGUGACGAAUUUCGAAUUUUUUUUUUUUGUGUUCAGCAGCGCGUUCUCUGUUCAUGGAAGUGACCGGCGGCACAGUAGAUCUGCGUUUCGUGUGGCUGAGAUUUUGUAGGGUUUUAUUUUUUGGUGGAUGUCAUGUAGAGCCUCUUAAGAAGCAGGAUAUUAUAAAGAACGUCGCCUCUUGUGGACAUGGUGAACAAAGUUCUGCUGCUGCAAGUUCGAUCUCAGAUCUAGGGUUCGCAAGUUUAGAAAUAAGAUCGCUAACAGAGUUAUGGAUCCGCAGGUAAUCGUGUUCUCUAUUUUCAUGGAGUUUAAUAGUCUGCUUUUAGGGAUUUGUAGAACUUAGCUUAACAAUCCAACCGUUGUAGCUAGAUAUUUGUAGAAGUAGGUAUUGAACAUGGUUUCUGAUGAUAUAUAUGCCAUUGUUCAGGUAGCGGAUGUGCCUGUCUUUGUGAUUGCUGGAAGUUGGGAAUGUUCUGAUAAGGGUAUCUAGGAUUUCUAUAUUGCAAAAGAUUGUUUCGCGCGCAUUCUUAACAUGAAUCCAUCUAUGACGUACGAGGAGCUGAUUUGCAGUGUGCGUAAAGAGUUUGGAUUGGAUGGCCUGAGCUUCAAACCAAAAUUAAGCUAAUGGCUGCCAUGCCAACUUUCUGUUUUUGCAGUGAACGCAAGGCCUCCUAUCGUCAUUGCUAGUAAUAUUGGUGUCAGAAACUUCUUGGCUGUAAAGGAAACUGCAGUUCAUCUUAAUCUAUUACUGUCUCUUGAACCUGAAGAUAGUGAUGAUGUUGGCGUCAUGUUGAGGAAACAAUGUUCAGUACCUGCUGAAAAGGCUAAAGGUGUGGAUGACACUGCAAAGGCUUUUGCAGCGUUGAUGCCAAUUGACCCAGCCAUACCUGAUGAACAGAACAAUAAUGCAACCAAGUUGAGUGGUGUUAGGAGACGUCUGUUUGGUGGGAAUGAAGCAUCUUCUUCCAAAGAACCAUUGAGGAUGCACUCUGUUCCUGAAAGUACUGAUGCAACAUGGAGUCAGUCAAGUUAUCGCAAAGAACCUGGUUUCAUUGAAGACGGUGGGACAAAAGAGAGUGGUAUCAUUAGACUUGCUGAUCCAGAUACACCUUCUCUGUCUUCUAACUAUGAAGAAAACAAUGAAACAGUUGCUGCUGGAGAGCGAACCUUAGCAUCUGAAGAGGAAACCCAAGCAGAAAUAUAGACAGUACUAAACCCUAUAGGAAACUAGACCCUAGGAGCCAUGGGACAACUAAACCCAAGCAGAAAUAUAGACAGUACUAAACCCUAUAGGAAACUAGACCCUAGGAGCCAUGGGACAACUAAACCCAAGCAGAAAUAUAGACAGUACUAAACCCUAUAGGAAACUAGUCCCUAGGAGCCAUGGGACAACUAAACCCAAGCAGAAAUAUAGACAGUACCAAACCCUAUAGGAAACUAGACCCUAAGAGGUAUGUCUCAACUAAACCCAAGCAGAAAUGUGCACACUUAUGGUAAAGCCUAAAAUCCAAGGUGACCAAAAACAAGUAGACAUGUAAACAAUAGUAAGUGGGAAAAAAAGAGAGGGGGACAUGUCGCAGAAUUACAAACCAGGUUCAACAGAGGGAGAAGCUCCAGAUCCAAGCGAACCCAUUGAAGAAAGCGAGAACCUACAGAUCAAAGUAAUGUCAUUUUUGGGGUUGAAAUGUUGAACUAAGACAGAAAUGUUGAACUAAGACAGAAACUACAGAGGAAAUUGAUGGACUGUUUAAGCAAGAUAGCCGGCAGGAAACUAAAGUUUUACAAAAAAAAGCCACAUAUCCUAAACGGAAACAACAAUAGCGGCCGGCGAGCGGCGAGGUAGAUAGGUAUAUGGAACAUGCAAAAAAAACAGAGAAGCGAUGCGGAACCGAGCAAGCAAUGGCGACAGGGAGAGAACAGUAAAGCUCGAUUAAAUUACCAGCUGCAGCGUUGCCGAUGAAUUUUAGAUCUAGGAAUUUUACUCCGGAACGGACGAUCCGGCGGUGAGCUCUCUGUGUUCGCAGACGAUAGAGAAAGCAAAGAGGAGAGGGAAAGUAAUGAUGUACUGUGCUUUAAACAGAGAGUUAUGGCUACACGUUUGUCUGACUUCUUUCUCGGCCAGCUGAAGUAAAUGCACGGGUGAAACGAAAAAAAAAAAAAUUGAUGACGAAGAGUCGCGGAGGGUAAUCUCGUCAAAGCACAUGGAGCAGAAAUGGCAAUUCCUACAAACUGUGCAAAAAAGGACACGGGCAACAAAUGCCACGCCAAAAAAGGACAUAAUCUGUAGAAUCUUUUAGAGAGAGAAAAGCUAGAUCUAUCUUUUUCUUUCUUCCGAUCUCUAAUUGGAUUCAGUUUUUUUUGUUUAUUUUCCGAUCUGUGUUCAUCUUUCUUCUCCGUUAUAGCCGGUUUCUUAGAUCGGAUUAAAGUAUUUCCAGAUUUAGCUUUCUAUAAGAACUUAAAAUCUGGACUUUUGAGUUCUCUCUUUCUACAAGAUUUGCAGUCUCAAAUUCCGUUUGUCACUGAUCGAUUAUGUUUGCUUCACUAUCAGCUCGACUCUUCUCUUCUCAUGGAGUAAUAUCUUCGUCAUCAUACUUCACCGUUUGGAUUGAAGAAGACCAUUGUAGGUCUAGAGGCGGAGCUUCCUUUUGAAGAGUGUUGGGUUGAGAUUAUGAUUCUAUGGAGUCUUUGGUAAAAUCUUAAGGAUGGUAGCAGCAAAAUCAUGUCAGAUCGGCGGCGGUGGACAUGUAGAAAGAGUUGGCGACGGUGAAUCUGAAGUCCGGCGACGACGCUGCACCUGGUCGUGGAUCUGGUCGGUGACGUUCAUGUCACAGGUUUUCCUUCUCACGGAUGGACACGUGUCCAUAUACGUGGCACUUUUAUUACUUACCUUUAUCUUUAAAUUGGAUUAGGUAGGUGGGCUUUCUUUAAAAUGAAGUUGUAAAUGGGGUAGAAUAGACUUUAUUUUCACUGUUUGUAAUAGCCCGUUUGGGUUUUUCAUCUUAAUAAAAAUGACAAUGGCCGACAAAAAAAAA
rnacentral:lncRNA from 1 species